GGAAAGACGCUGCCACCGCCCCUCCCACACUAGAUGGAGCUCUCCACAUGUGCAACGAAUUGUGGACGACGCUGCAGUCCCGUACCAUCCUCUUUAGUCACCUCAAAACUCACUAACCUAGGGUCGGAUGAGUCUACCCGGGAGUUUAUUCAACUACGGUACAAGCUUCGUCAUCUUUUCAAUGGACGUAAGCAUCAGUGCGAGAAGGCUUACAGUCGGAUCGUGGAUGAACUAGGACUGACCCACAUCAUAACACCUACACAAGCUAGAAAAAAAUGGUCCAAUCUACUGCAAAAAUACAUGGACAUUAAAGGAGGCUGUUCUACAGCAAAUGCAGACUGGCCAUACUUUCAAAUACUUGAUCAAGUAGUUCCUCUCAUGAGAAAAGAAAAGAUUGAAAAAAUACCACACUCAAGUUUAGACCACAGAGAUCUUGAUGCACCUCAGGACAGUUUACCCAGCCCUCUAACCACUCCUAUUGUUCCUGAACAAGAUCCUUUGUCAGAGGCCUCUGAUCCCUUAUCAGUGACCUCUGUAAAUACUGUUAUGGUGUCAGCCCAGUCAUCCACUGUAGGAGAUGGUAAAUGCAAGAUUGAAGCUGUCGAUGGUGAGCCACCUCGGAAAAGGGGAAGAGGUCGACGUGCAGCUCAACGUGCCAGAGAUAGAUGGUGGGGUGCUGUAGAAGAUGAUGACAUGGGCUCAGAUUCAACAGGGAUAGCUGUGAGAGGAGAACUUACAACUCAGCAAGGAACACCAAAAUCCUCCACAGUUGAUAACUUGGAUCCUUCUCAAAUGGAAGUCCAAACAUUUCACAUGCUAGAAUCAUGUUCUUCAGCACUGGCAGAAAUCCGUGAGACACUUAGAUUACACACUGAGCGACAAGAGACCUUGAUGCAGAGCCUUCAGCAAACUGUGAUGAGCCAGGGAAAUACUGUUAAGGAGCUGCUGUCUACCAUGACCACACAAAAUGCAACUCUUAUUGCCCUCAUGACACAGAUUAACACCAGAAGCUCCCAAUCAUCAUUAGGGUGUUGAAGUGUGAGAUGUCCAGAGAUCCAUAAGCGUUACCUACAACACCAAGUGGAUUCCUCAAAGUAAAACAGUAGUUGCUGGGCCAAGCAUUUCCUCCGAGACCUCACUGGUCCCCCUUCGCCCACAGGCGUGUACACCUGCAUGUAUGAGAUGCCGAGCAUCACCGAGUAUAUGACAUCAACAAAUGGCAGCUUUGAUGAUCAAAAACACACAACAGAGCAGCGAGGACACAACCAUCGGGCAGGCCAGCUUUUAACUUCACAGCAAAAUUUGAUCAGUG
rnacentral:misc_RNA from 1 species